UUAAUCGUGGUUCGAGAACCUCCCACGCAAAAAAACUAAGGAAAA
rfam:Pasteurella bettyae CCTG 2042 contig00004, whole genome shotgun sequence.